GGGUUGUGGCUCAGUGGUAGAGUGCUUGCCUAGCAUGUGUGAGGCACUGGGUUUGAUCCUCAGACCCA
rnacentral:tRNA from 1 species